CGUAAUGGAACCUGGUUUUGGUGAAGCACAGCAACCCAUAGAGAGGCCAAGACUGCGCGCUGCCUUUUGCGCGCUGCCUUCUUUCAGGAGAAUGAGGUCAACCCCCUUACCAGUGCACGGCGCAAAUGGGCAGGUGAGGUCAGGGGCUCUCUCCCAGGAGAGGAGGACUUGGGUGCUGGUGGUGAGGAUGACCGCGCGCGUGUGUGUGCAGGAUGUCGUCGAAAGCCUGGUGUGGACACCAGGAUUGGAGGUCUUCAGCUUGGACUGUGUCUCCUGACUCUGGGGGAACGUGGAAGAUUGGGAGAAGGUCCGACGAAACGCGCACGGGAUCGGUUGCGUGUUGUUCAUAAGCCCCAAAUGAGACCCAAGGAACAGAUGUGUUGCGUGUUGGGUGGGGCAGCGUGGGAGCAGAGGGCUGGACAAAGGGCACGAAUGAUCGCCUGGAGAAAUGCAUGUAGUUUCAUACAAAAGCGGUUUUUAAUAUUUCCCUUCAAUAUGGGAAGCCGGGGAGCAUUCUAUUUAAUAAUAAUAAACAACCCAACGUGGGUCCCGUCCCCCCGCAAUGUCACGAGUCUGGAAUUUAAAAUUCCCUUCCCACACAGUGGAGAGAAAGAAAAAAACCUUAAUUAUAUAUAGAGGGUAGUAGUCGUAGUACUAGGUGUGGGGUGUCGCAAUAAUGCCUUUUAUUCGACGCCUGGCGUGCCACCUGUUAACUCAGUAACGUCUCAGCCUUCACCGCGCCUGUUGCGUUUUCCAGUCCGAAGCAACUUUAAGUGGUCUUUAGCGAUUAGAUCAGGAUUGCUUUAUUAUUAUUAUUAUUAUUAUUAUUAUUAUUAUUAUUAUUAUUAUUAUUAUUAUUAUGCCACAUCCCUCCAGGGCAUGGCGGUCUCUCCCUCUGCGCAUUUUGAUGGAUAAAGAGACAAGUGGCGCUGAUGGGAAGCUCUUUAAUCCCUGUGAAAGCAGGUAUUUGCAGUUUAUGUCCCAGAAAGGUAAGCUUACAUGGUCCAGGAGGAGCAGUUUAUUCCUCAUGUAAUUGUGAAUUAAGGAACGGUGAUCAAGGAAGAGGCACAAAUUCAUCAGGAAACCCCACCACCCCAAGUUGACAGACCGUGUGUGUGUGUGGGGGGGGGGGAGACUGAGAGACUUUAUGGUUUAGAAUAUUACAUAGCCCAGAAUAUUUUCCAGAAUUUCCCGGGUCCUCGCUACAAAGCUGUAGCGGAGCCGAAGAAAGGUCUCGUUUCUAGAGUUAAAUACUUGGUGGGCUGCAUGUGUCUUGGUGCUUAAAAUGCAGCUAUUUUUGCGUGUCUUUAGUUAUGUUCAGCUCUUUCUGCGUACCUUUAGCCGCUCUUGUGGAAAAAAGAAAAAGGGUAAAUCCAUUUUGGCUGGCUGGGAGAUCACCCUGAAAACCUGGCGUGUACCCCCCUCCCCCCUUCCCCAAAUGAAUCAAAGACAACCAGGCAAUACUGGCCUCUGCCUUCAGCGUCACGUCGAGGCACGCAAGAAUGGUAACCCAGCAGCAGGAAGAGGCCCAUUGGAACCUGGAAGAUCGCGAAGGUUGCGCAGAGGAACGGCUGGAGAGGUCGCACGUCGAGGCCAAGCCUCCUAGGCCUGCGCACCACCAGCCUUGGCAGGUUUGCUCAGAAAUCCGUCCCCCUCAGUCCAAAUGGGGCUUCCUUUUAGAUAAGAGGUCACAGGAGCUCUCUCCUUCCUUGUCCUGUCCUCCUGGAUUGCACCGCAACCGUGGUCCCUCACCCCCACCGCCCUUGUUUCUUUGCCGCAAACUUUUCGAAGGACGAGGAAGAAGCC
rnacentral:lncRNA from 1 species